ensembl:ncRNA C13G3.4 ncRNA
AGACAAACGGACCACGGGAUACUGAUUGAGACGAGCUGAUAAUUGUGAUGAGGAGUGCCGGAGCACCGCGGCGGCAACGAGUACGGAUCCACAAAAAGAUGAGAAGCGGAGUUGCCGCCGGCAGGCCACCGGAGAGGCGAGAUGACAUUGGUAAAUUUCACGGGCUCCCGAGAUGACACGAGAUGAGAAGAGCAGC